GGGGGAAGGCGAGGAUGGGAAAAGUUAGGGGGGGGGGGGAAUGCGAAGGCGAGAGAAAGAGAGCGAGGAAAAAUGGAUUUCUCGCCCCUCCCAUGUUUCCUCGAUCUCUUUCUCUCGCCUUCGCAUUCCUCCCCUAGCUUCUCCCACCCUCGCCCUCCCCCU